UGGCCCAGCUGUUCCAGCAUACUAACCAGGGAGCGCACCUGGAGUCCAAACAUCCGAAAAGCUUUCACGUCUCCACUGCAAAUGUUUGGACCAUCCAUUAAUUCGGCAAUGCGCUGUAAUGCUAGAUGGUGGGGCUGGCCAUACAUUUUAUUGAGGGCUCUCCAUUGGAGUAAAGGGACUUGGAGACGGGACUGGUAAAGUCACUGGCCUGGAGGGGGCUUCCUUUUCUGCCUUAAGACUUUGAAGUUCGUGAUGUAACAUGGCAUUCUGAUGGCGCAUCUCCUGUAAUGCUGAGAUAAUCUCUGGAAGCUGGUUGGCUUGUCGUCGUAGUACUGCAUUCUCUUGUUUCAUCUCUUGCAACAUGGCUGUAAGCUCUACUUCCUUUUCUCCACGCUGGUCAGAUGCACUUGGCCAUUCGUCUCUCAGUGUCCAUUUAUCACAUUCUAAAUCUUGGCUAACAGGAGAACUCGAUCUGGUAUGUCCUACUGUACUUGGUGACUGUCCUCUGCUUUGACUGUGGCCUGGGAGUGGCUGUCGAUGCUGCAAUGGCUCACCAAGCUCGUAGUCCACUAGAUGAGCUGGUGGGUUAAUCCGUCUUCGUGGACGCACAACGGGGACUUCCUUCUCAGGUUGAGACAUCUCUGUAACAAUUCACCUCCGGCUCGAAGGACCAUGAAAACUCUUCUUAGACUGCACUCUAUUGCUAGUCCGGGUUUGGGUGAAGGCUACAGUUUGCCCGGUCAGAACAAUGAUGUCUCAAUCAAAUAAUCCAAAUUGUCUUUAUUAGAUGUGCAUAGAUGUGUGGUUCUGAAAAUAUAAAAUACAAAUAUAAGUAUGAAUAUAAAUGUAUACAAACAACAACUUAAAUAAAGCUUAUUUGAAAUGGCUGUUCAAUGGAGAUAAAUGUAACAGACAAUAUCACAAUCAAGGUCUAACUAUUUAUAUAAGUGGAAAUGAGUGUCCAGUAUAAACAUAUACAAAGUAUGUGUGUGCGCUAACACUGCGCACGAACUGUUCACGUGAACAUCUCUGCUGUGCAAGCGAUGUAAACAACUCUAGAGCGCAUGCGCGCUACCUGAGAUGCGGCCGUGCAUCCUUAUUUGUAAUGACUAAAUAUGCAUAAAUUGACAGUAAAUAACAUGAAUAAUACUGAAUAGUAGCAGUAUAAUAGCGGUGGAGCACGAUCAUGUAAACAGUAGCAAAAUGUAAACACUUAUACAGGCGUAAUGGCGUUUAUCCUUACAGUUUCUAAGAAUGCUCAGUAAUGAUAUAAUUACUUACGUUGUGAUGCACGCACACGCACAAACUAUAAAAUUCCUCUAAUUUGGACUAAUACUUAUGAAUCUACAAACUAUCUACAAUAUUCAGACAGUUUGCCUUCCCGUUUUCAUCCACCUUCUCU
ensembl:lncRNA